UUGCAUAUUAGUCUUCUUUUCGGUAUCUCUCUCUACUUGACGACACAGAGACUGUGUAACUCAAGUUUGGGGGAGGUACCAAGUAUUUGAUCAUGUUUGCUUUGAUGUUGUUUCAUUGAGUCAUGCAUGGCAUACCUAUUUGCAUAGAUAAAAAAAAAAAAAAAAAUCAAUCAUUUAGUUUGCAUCAUUUGCAUUUUUAGGAGAGUCUAGAGCAUAUAGGUUGCAUUCACUUGCAUUGGGAGCAAUGAUUUUGAAUGCCUUGUAAAGAACACUACGUUGCACUUGACUAGCUUUUGCACCUCUCAAAAAGACUUGUAUGUUUCGAGCCUUGAAAACUCUUCCUGAAACUUGUUGAUUGCUGAAACUCAGUCUUUGAAGCCAACUACAACCUUAUUUGAACUGAACGAACUUAAUGCUUCUUGCUCAUGGUCCCUUGUGUACUGAGUCAUGGCUAUACACACUUGAGUUGUCACAUCCUUUAUGCCAAUCUUUUUUGACAAACUCUAGUGGUAGACCACUCCCAAAACCUUUCCC
rnacentral:lncRNA from 1 species